rnacentral:rRNA from 1 species
GUCUGCGGCCACGCCACCCUGCCACCCUGAACAAGCCCGAUCCCGUCUGAUCUCGGAAGCUAAGCAGGGUCAGGCCUGGUGAGUCCUCAGAUGGGAGACCACCUAGGAAGACCAGGCGCUGUAGGCG